rnacentral:rRNA from 1 species
UUAAAUCAGUUGCGAUCUACUCGGCGUUCCGCGCCGCCGGAUAACCGUAGUAAUUCGUAGGGCUAAUACGUGCGAAGCGCCGAAGCCGCGAGGCGACGGGCGUUCUCGCCGGAUGUAGGAACCGACCCGGGGACCGCCGGGGCAACCCGGCGCCCCCGAGACGGGGCGAACCACGGUGAAAUGACGGAUCGUCGGCCCCGCGCCGGCGACUCGCCGAAUGAGUUUCUGACCUAUCAACUCGAGACGGCGGGGUAGAGGCCCGCCGCGGUAACGACGGGUAACGGGGAAUCAGGGUUCGAUUCCGGAGAGGGAGCCCGAGAAACGGCUACCACUUCCAAGGAAGGCAGCAGGCGCGCAACUUACCCUAAUCUCGAUUCGAGGAGGUAGUGACAAGAAAUACCGAUGCGGGACCCU